GUGGAGGACUAAGAAAGUAAAGCUAAAGAAGUCUUGUGGCUUUUACUGAUACUAUCCUCCUAUAAAAAAGCUAAUGGUAGAAGAACAGGCCUGGUUCCAAGACUUACUCAGAGCCUACUUAAUCUACCAACAUCA